AGAUGUGGAGUGACGUCAGUCAGUCUGAAAGCAAAUUACAUCGGAGGUUUUAAAGGAGCCGGGCGCUAAUAAAAGCGAUGUGGUAUACGUAAUUUAGAAUAAACUCAAGAUGGAUGAACUGACACAUUCUGUAAGAAGCGCGAUGGCUCUGUUGUGGAUCUUGUCUGGAUUAGCCACUAUACAAGCUGUGAAGGUCGUUAUAGAACCACUGC